rnacentral:rRNA from 1 species
ACUGCUCAGUAACACGUAGCUAACCUGCCCUUAGAUCAGUUAUAACCUCGGGAAACUGAGGAUAAAAACUGAUAGAAGAUAUUUUCUGGAAUGAUUUAUCUUUUAAACUUUGGUCUAAGGAUGGGGCUGCGGUGGAUUAGGUAGUUGGCGGGGUAAAGGCCCACCAAGCCGAUGAUCCAUAAGGGCUCUUAGCGGAGAGGCCCUGAGAGGGAAUCUGAGACACUAUUCCCAGCCCUACGGGGUGCAGCAGUUAGGGAACUUUUGCAAUGCGCGCAAGCGUGACAAAGUAAGCCAGAGUGUUUUUCAUAAAUUUUGAAAAACUUUUGCCUGUUUUAAAAAGACAGGAGAAUAAGGACUGGGCAAGACCGGUGCCAGCCGCCGCGGUAAUCCCGGCGGUCCAAGUCGCGGCCACAAUUAUUGGGUCUAAAACAUUCGUAGCUUGUUUUGUAAGU